rnacentral:rRNA from 1 species
AUAUGCUUGUCUCAAAGAUUAAGCCAUGCAUGUCUAAGUAUAAGCAACUAUACAGUGAAACUGCGAAUGGCUCAUUAAAUCAGUUAUCGUUUAUUUGAUGGUACUUUACUACUUGGAUAACCGUGGUAAUUCUAGAGCUAAUACAUGCUAAAAAUCCCAACUCACGAAGGGAUGUAUUUAUUAGAUAAAAAACCAAUGCCUUCUGGCUCCUUGGUGAUUCAUGAUAACUUAACGGAUCGCAUGGCCUUGCGCCGGCGACGCUACAUUCAAAUUUCUGCCCUAUCAACUUUCGAUGGUAGGAUAGUGGCCUACCAUGGUUUCAACGGGUAACGGGGAAUUAGGGUUCGAUUCCGGAGAGGGAGCCUGAGAAACGGCUACCACAUCCAAGGAAGGCAGCAGGCGCGCAAAUUACCCAAUCCCGAUUCGGGGAGGUAGUGACAAUAAAUACUGAUACAGGGCUCUUUCGGGUCUUGUAAUUGGAAUGAGUACAAUUUAAAUCCCUUAACGAGGAACAAUUGGAGGGCAAGUCUGGUGCCAGCAGCCGCGGUAAUUCCAGCUCCAAUAGCGUAUAUUAAAGUUGUUGCAGUUAAAAAGCUCGUAGUUGAACCUUGGGUUUGGCUGCUCGGUCCGCCUAACCGCGUGCACUGAUGCGGCCGGAUCUUUCCUUCUGGCUAACCUCAUGCCCUUCACUGGGUGUGCUGGGGAUCCAGGACUUUUACUUUGAAAAAAUUAGAGUGUUCAAAGCAGGCCUUUGCUCGAAUACAUUAGCAUGGAAUAAUAGAAUAGGACGGCGGUUCUAUUUUGUUGGUUUCUAGAGCCACCGUAAUGAUUAAUAGGGAUAGUCGGGGGCAUCAGUAUUCAAUUGUCAGAGGUGAAAUUCUUGGAUUUAUUGAAGACUAACUACUGCGAAAGCAUUUGCCAAGGAUGUUUUCAUUAAUCAGUGAACGAAAGUUAGGGGAUCGAAGACGAUCAGAUACCGUCGUAGUCUUAACCAUAAACUAUGCCGACUAGGGAAUCGGGGCGGUGUUCA